UACAGAGGGGGCAAGCGUUAUUCGGAAUUAUUGGGCGUAAAGGGCGCGUAGGCGGCGAUUCAAGUGACGGGUGAAAUCCCUCGGCUUAACCGAGGAACUGCCUGUCAGACUGGAUUGCUUGAGGCCGGGAGAGGUGAGUGGAAUUCCCAGUGUAGCGGUGAAAUGCGUAGAUAUCAGGAAGAACACCAAUGGCGAAGGCAGCUCUCUGGGACGGUACUGACGCUGAGACGCGAAAGCGUGGGGAGCGAACAGG
rnacentral:rRNA from 1 species